rnacentral:lncRNA from 1 species
UAGUGACGUUACUGCCACCCCCAGUUAAAUACACUGGCCUCUAUCUCAGACUCACCUGUUCUGGGAAGGUUCCUUUUGACUCUCAUCCACUCAAAAGUUUUCGUGUCACCGUAAACAUCCUGAGAGAGGUCCCCUCUAUCUUCUGGCACCACCAGAGAGUUACAGCUGGGGGGGUCCUGGCUACAGGCGUGGUACCGAUCCACUCCCCGACCCCCGGAGCGGGGUCCAAUAAGGCAAGCUGGGUAGGCGGAGGAGGAGGGGGGCAGGCCCCCCCCAGGAAAGUCGGGGUCAGGAGAGCUGCGGAGUCUCUCUCUGGGCAAACACACAAGAGGGAUGAUAGGAAACAGUUUCUACAGCAGAUCUCUCUCUGGGCUGCGAGAAAUGGACAUGACUUCAUCCCUCCCCCCAGCCCACCCCACCAGACCCUCCUGGAAUAUCUGCUGGGAUGCUCAAGAAAGAAUGCAAAGGAAGAAAGAUCCAGCUCUAACGAUCCAGCACGUUGCAAUGAAAAACCUGUUCUCUUGCGUUUAGGAAGAAAAGUCUUGGGCUGGGAAGUUAUGAAGAUAAAG